ensembl:lncRNA
AAAAGGAGACUUCCUUUUGGAAUACAGAGGUAAACUCAUACCAAAAGAAGAAUGUGAGCGGAGACACAGAGUUUAUCAUGACAGCCUGAAGGUGUUCAUGUUUGAAUUCAAGUUUGAUGGAAAACUCUGGUGUGUGGAUGCAUCUCAAGAAGAUGGGUCAUUAGGCAGACUUGUCAACGACAACCACAUCAGUCCAAGUGCUAAAAUGAAAAUAUUAAAUAUCAAUGGAAAGCCCCAUCUAUGCUUAUUUGCAAGCAGAGACAUAAGUCCAGGCGAAGAAAUAGACUAUAAUUAUGGUGACUCGGAUUGGCCCUGGAGAUGCAAGGCUGAGACCAGCCAGAUUGAGAAGACUGUGAGCUGCCUAAAGCCGCAACCAAACUGCAUUUCAAACAAUGAUCUGGACCUGAAACAUCCGGAGCCUGAAAGGGAUCUUGAUGAAGAAAUGCCUCAGCAAGGCUCAGAAGCCAUGCAUUCUUCUUCAGUGCAAGAUUCUGAAGAGACUGAGACCAGCCAGAUUGAGAAGACUGUGAGCUGCCUAAAGCCGCAACCAAACUGCAUUCCAAACAAUGAUCUGGACCUGAAACAUCCAGAGCCUGAAAGGUGUCACAGUCAUCGUCUGGUGUGCACAACAAUAUCAUCUUUGGACAAGUGCAUUCAGUGUGUGGGACCGGUUUCCUCCCUCAAGUGGCUUGGCUAUAAGUGCAAAGUUUGUUUAGGGGUCUGGCACAAAUCCUGCCUUGCAAAAUUGGCAAAUCAGAAUUGUCACCAGUC